UACGUAGGGUGCGAGCGUUUGUCCGGAAUUAUUGGGCGUAAAGGGCUCGUAGGCGGUUUGUCGCGUCGGGAGUGAAAUCCACUGGCUUAACUGGUGGCUUGCUUUCGAUACGGGCAGACUGGAGGUAUGCAGGGGAGAACGGAAUUCCUGGUGUAGCGGUGAAAUGCGCAGAUAUCAGGAGGAACACCGGUGGCGAAGGCGGUUCUCUGGGCAUGUCCUGACGCUGAGGAGCGAAAGUGUGGGGGAGCGAACAGG
rnacentral:rRNA from 1 species